rnacentral:snRNA from 1 species
GGAUGUGAGGGCGAUCUGGCUGCGACAUCUGUCACCCCAUUGAUCGCCAGGGUUGAUUCGGCUGAUCUGGCUGGCUAGGCGGGUGUCCCCUUCCUCCCUCACCGCUCCAUGUGCCUCCCUCCCAAAGCUGCGCGCUCGGUGGAAGAGGACGACCAUCCCCGAUAGAGGAGGACCGUUCUUCGGUCAAGGGUAUACGAGUAGCUGCGCUCCCCUGCUAGAACCUCCAAACAAGCUCUUAAGAAUCAAAGUAGGGGGGCUGGGAUGUAGCUCGGU